rnacentral:lncRNA from 1 species
CUACUCUAAUGCUGCUGUUGCUUCUACUAACAAUGGCAUCUCCAUUCAGUCAGCAUCAUCUGAGAAAUUGCAACUGUCCUCAUUCUAAUCCCCCCAUAAAGCUUUGUCUGGAUGCUUUUCCUAUAGCCCAAGUCCCCUCCACUGUUCAUUUUGUCCUCAAACCAUCACUAUGUCAUAUUUCCUCAAAGUUCUUUCUGUUAACGUUAAGUCACGUGGCCAGAAGAAGAAGUUGUGUGCCUGCGCACACCAGGGCAUGUGUGUACAUGUGGAGGUCAGAGGACAACUUGCAGAAAUCGGUUUCCCCCUGUCAUGUCAAUUCUCGUGAUCAAACUCAGUGGCCGUGUUUGUCUGCCCACUGCUGAGUCAUGUCCCCAGCCCUAUAAAAAUAAAUGAAUUUUUAACAUA